rnacentral:lncRNA from 1 species
CAGUCGAUACUAGAGGUAAAGAGCUGAUUGAAUUAUGCCUGGGGAACCAAAUUCGUUUGUUAAACGGUAGAACUUUGGGUGAUUCUUUAGGUAAAUAUACAUGCUAUAAUCACAUGGGUACCAGUGUUGUCGAUUAUUUACUGGCUUCAGAUAGUUUGAUGCAAAACAUUUUGUAUUUUAAUGUUUCAACUUUUAACCCAACUUUAAGUGACUGUCACUGUAAAUUAUCAUGGAAAAUUCUUAGCCAUCAUUUCCUUGAUAUAAUUCCACAGCCGAAUUCUAAAGUCAUGGGUAGUAAAUUCAAAUGGCAGGAAAACUCCCCUCAGGCCUUUCAAUCAGCUCUGCAAGAUAAAGACAGCAAAAAUCUUAUUUCACAUUUUGAUACCAGCUCUGAUAUUAAUGAGCUGGCUGUGAAACUUAAUGAAAUUUUAUUAACAGCCUCUAAAAAAUGUUUGAGGCGUCCUUCUCCACCGAAAAAAUCUUCAAGAAAAAUAUACACAAAUAAAAAGUUUUUUGAU